rnacentral:rRNA from 1 species
UGGGGAAUAUUGCACAAUGGGCGCAAGCCUGAUGCAGCAACGCCGCGCGAGGGACGACGGCCUUCGGGUUGUAAACCUCUUUUGGCAGGGAAGAAGCGAAAGUGACGGUACCUGCAGAAAAAGCACCGGCUAACUACGUGCCAGCAGCCGCGGUGAUACGUAGGGUGCAAGCGUUGUCCGGAAUUAUUGGGCGUAAAGAGCUCGUAGGCGGUUUGUCGCGUCUGCUGUGAAAACCCAAGGCUCAACCUCGGGCCUGCAGUGGGUACGGGCAAACUAGAGUGCGGUAGGGGAGAUUGGAAUUCCGGGUGUAGCGGUGGAAUGCGCAGAUAUCAGGAGGAACACCGAUGGCGAAGGCAGAUCUCUGGGCCGUAACUGACGCUGAGGGGCGAAAGCAUGAGGAGCGAACA